rnacentral:lncRNA from 10 species
GAUGCUUCAUGCUCCUUUUGUGAACAUCACUCAAGUCAAUUCCUUCAUCCACUCACUGAGCACCUGCUGUGCGUGAGGCAGGUUCAGGGUCCCCUGGAGAGCUGGGGACAUGUGUACCACAUCCAGUCCUUGGUGCUGACUCUGCAGUCAAGGGCACUGCCUGCCACCGUAAAGUUGUCCCAGUAGGGGCGGCCGGGCAGAGGCGCCCCUCACCUCCUGAACGGGGCGGCUGACCCCCCGACCUCCCUC